rnacentral:rRNA from 1 species
AGCGAACGCUGGCGGCAGGCCUAACACAUGCAAGUCGAACGAACCUUUCGGGGUUAGUGGCGGACGGGUGAGUAACACGUGGGAACGUGCCUUUAGGUUCGGAAUAACUCAGGGAAACUUGUGCUAAUACCGAAUGUGCCCUUCGGGGGAAAGAUUUGUCGCCUUUAGAUCGGCCCGCGUCUGAUUAGCUAGUUGGUUGAGGUAAUGGCUCACCAAGGCGACGAUCAGUAGCUGGUCUGAGAGGAUGAUCAGCCACAUUGGGACUGAGACACGGCCCAAACUCCGACGGGAGGCAGCAGUGGGGAAUCUUGCGCAAUGGGCGAAAGCCUGACGCAGCCAUGCCGCGUGAAUGAGGAAGGUCUUAGGAUUGUAAAAUUGUUUCACCGGGGACGAUAAUGACGGUACCCGGAGAAGAAGCCCCGGCUAACUUCGUG